GAGCCUGCCCGGCGAAGUGAGAACUGCUAAUUCCUCACUACAUGGUUCAACUCCAUGCUUGCUCG
rnacentral:tRNA from 1 species